UCCUACGGGAGGCUGCAGUGGGGAAUAUUGGACAAUGGGCGCAAGCCUGAUCCAGCCAUGCCGCGUGUGUGAAGAAGGCCUUCGGGUUGUAAAGCACUUUUGUCCGGAAAGAAAUCCUGUCGGUUAAUACCUGGCGGGGAUGACGGUACCGGAAGAAUAAGCACCGGCUAACUUCGUGCCAGCAGCCGCGGUAAUACGAAGGGUGCAAGCGUUACUCGGAAUUACUGGGCGUAAAGCGUGCGUAGGCGGUUCGUUAAGUCAGAUGUGAAAGCCCCGGGCUCAACCUGGGAAUUGCAUUUGAUACUGGCGGGCUAGAGUACGGUAGAGGGUGGUGGAAUUCCCGGUGUAGCAGUGAAAUGCGUAGAGAUCGGGAGGAACAUCUGUGGCGAAGGCGGCCACCUGGACCAGUACUGACGCUGAGGCACGAAAGCGUGGGGAGCAAACAGGAUUAGAUACCCUAGUAGUC
rnacentral:rRNA from 1 species